rnacentral:rRNA from 1 species
GAUGAACGCUGGCGGCGUGCCUAAUACAUGCAAGUCGAGCGAACAGAUGAGGCGCUUGCUCCUCUGACGUUAGCGGCGGACGGGUGAGUAACACGUGGAUAACCUACCUAUAAGACUGGGAUAACUUCGGGAAACCGGAGCUAAUACCGGAUAAUAUAUUGAACCGCAUGGUGCAAUAGUGAAAGACGGUUUUGCUGUCACUUAUAGAUGGAUCCGCGCCGCAUUAGCUAGUUGGUAAGGUAACGGCUUACCAAGGCAACGAUGCGUAGCCGACCUGAGAGGGUGAUCGGCCACACUGGAACUGGGACACGGUCCAGACUCCUAAGGUAGGCAGCAGUAGGGAAUCUUCCGCAAUGGGCGGAAGCCUGACGGAGCAACGCCGCGUGAGUGAUGAAGGUCUUCGGAUCGUAAAACUCUGUUAUUAGGGAAGAACAAAUGUGUAAGUAACUAUGCACGUCUUGACGGUACCUAAUCAGAAAGCCACGGCUAACUACGUG